rnacentral:lncRNA from 1 species
AGCUACAACCUGAUCAUGCCUUUGCCUCCCACCUGCAGGCAAGUGGUUCGUGAGCACUGGGAAAGAUAACCUUCUCAACGCCUGGAGGACGCCUUAUGGAGCCAGCAUAUUCCAGUCUAAAGAAUCCUCGUCUGUCUUGAGUUGUGACAUUUCAGCGGAUGACAAAUACAUUGUAACAGGCUCUGGUGACAAGAAGGCCACAGUUUAUGAGGUCAUCUACUAAACAAGAACUCCAGCAGGGCUGUCAAACUCUGGGAGAAACCGACUCGGCUCUGACAGGGAGACCCCCAGGCGAGGGGCCCCGAGGAUGGCGGAGGAUGGGCCGCAGGCAGCCGAGCGUUCAGGGCUGCGCUCCGGCCGGCUGAGAGGGCACGUGCCCCGUCACAGUCUGGACUCCUGGGCCUGGAUUGAUGUGUCUCACAGACUCGGAAGGGUUCUGCUCCUCCUCCUCCCCCUGAACAAUGCUGGCAGUUGCUACAAAUAGAUUUAUUGGAGGCUUAUGGCUCCGGUUCCCCCACA